rnacentral:lncRNA from 1 species
AUUUUUGUUUAUUCUGUUAAGCCCAAACAUUUAGACUCUACCUUUUCACCCUUUCAGCUCUCAGAGUCAUAAGGACACUAGAAGGCCACAAUGACUUCAAGAAGGAACCUUCAGGGGUGUCCAUCCACACCCUGGCCCAUGCACCCAGCUGAGUUCAGUACUGAGCAGCCAGUUCUUGGUGAGCUGUGCCCAAGAUCUUCCACUUUCUGGUUGUGUGGCAUUGCUCCCGACUCAGCAACAGGAUAUGAGAAGUGUCUUCUCUCUCUGCUGUUUACAAGGAAGAGUGGCUCUUCUGUGACACGUUGCAGCUUACCUCUUAUAUAGGCACCGUGGGCAUAUUCUUUAUCAAGGGAACUUCAUAAAUUUGAGCUUCAGAGGGAGAACAUUACAAGAGUGCCAAGGUAAAAUGGAUUUUCAGAAUUACAGGACCUGAGCAGCGAAGUCAGCAGAGUCAUGGAGAGUGGGACAGCGUAAAAAACUGAUAGAUUGUUUCUUUUAAAUUUUAUUUAGUGUUCUUAAAUAUAGGGUGACCACAAAGAAUGCUGAAAUAAAUUAUUUAAAUGUUAUGAUAUAUCUACA